GGAUGGCUCAGUUGGUAGAGCACGAGACUCUAAAUUUCAGGGCCAUGUUAGUAAAACAAUUCUUUGAAGAGAUUCUAACUGGAGGGCCA